rnacentral:tRNA from 1 species
GAUGGCUCAGUGGUAGAGUGCUUGCCUUGCAUGCAUGAAGCCCUGGGUUUGAUUCCUCAGCAUCA